UACGUAGGGACCAAGCGUUGUCCGGAAUCAUUGGGCGUAAAGAGCGUGUAGGCGGCUUGUUAAGUCUUGCGUGAAAUCUCGGGGCUCAACCCCGAGCGGUCGUGAGAAACUGGCAGGCUAGAGUGCGGGAGAGGAGAGUGGAAUUCCUGGUGUAGCGGUGAAAUGCGCAGAUAUCAGGAGGAACACCUGUGGCGAAGGCGGGUCUCUGGGCCGAAACUGACGCUGAGGAGCGAAAGCGUGGGGAGCAAACAGG
rnacentral:rRNA from 1 species